rnacentral:rRNA from 1 species
UACGUAGGGCGCAAGCGUUUGUCCGGAAUUAUUGGGCGUAAAGAGCUCGUAGGCGGCUUGUCGCGUCGGUUGUGAAAGCCCGGGGCUUAACCCCGGGUCUGCAGUCGAUACGGGCCGGCUGGAGGCAGGCAGGGGAGAAUGGAAUUCCCGGUGUAGCGGUGAAAUGCGCAGAUAUCGGGAGGAACACCGGUGGCGAAGGCGGCGACCUGGACAGAUACUGACACUCAACUGCGAAAAGCGUGGGGAGCAAACAGG